GUAGAUUGGAUGAGAAGUGUGAGUCCAAUUUUAUUUGAUUUCAAGGGAUUGCAAAUCUCAUUUCAAAAGGGGGAUACUUUAGUUACUUUGCAAGGGAUUAAAGAGGGGAUGGAACCUGGUAGCCUUCAAGAAUGUAAUUCCUUGCAGCAGUUGUUGCAUAGGAAGGGAAAUGAUUUCCAGUCUCCAUUAUUCUGUGUUAAUUUGAUAGAGCAGGCUGUUGGAAUUCAUUUUGUUGCUGCUACUACUCUGUUUGCAGCUAACAGAGGUAAUAUUCACCCUGAUAUUCAGAAAGUUAUUCAUAAAUACCCUCAAGUUUUUGCUGAACCUACUUCCUUACCCCCUUUUAGAAGUCAUAACCACAAUAUUCCAUUACAACCUGAUACUAAACCUAUAAAUGUGAGACCUUAUAGGUAUCCCCAUUAUCAGAAAAAUGAGAUUGAAAAGUUGGUGACUGAAAUGUUGAAUUCCAAAGUUAUUCAGCCUAGCACUAGUCCAUUUUCUUCCCCUGUUUUAUUGGUUAAGAAGAAGGAUGGCACUUGGAGAUUUUGCGUUGAUUACAGAAAGUUGAAUGACCACACCAUUAAGAAUAAAUUUCCUAUUCCUAUCAUAGAUGAUCUAUUGGAUGAAUUACAUGGAGCAAAAAUGUUUUCUAAGAUUGAUUUAAGGGCUGGAUAUCACCAAAUUCGAAUGGAUCCUCCUGAUAUUCCCAAGACUGCAUUUAAAACCCACCAUGGACAUUUUGAAUUCACAGUCAUGCCUUUUGGGUUGACUAAUGCCCCUGCCACCUUUC
rnacentral:misc_RNA from 1 species